rnacentral:misc_RNA from 1 species
CUUAGGGUUUCAAAAUCAAGACCUUUUUAUCAAUUUCAAGAAACGUGAAAUAACAAAAAAAAAAAAAAUCUUUCUUUCCUCUUUAUUUUUCUUCCUUCUCUGUAAAAUUUUUUCUUUCUAUUUCUGUAGUUUCUUCUCUAUUCUUCUUUUUCAAUUAUUCUUCGUCCUUUCUCUGUAAUUUUCUUCCACUUCCAGAAUUAGUAACAAAAGUAUCUCUUCUCUUUUCCGUUCUUUGAUUCUUUUCUUUCUUUCAAUCUCUUUUUUCAAUUAAUCUCAUUCUUAGUUCAUUCUAAGGGUUCCAUUUC